rnacentral:misc_RNA from 1 species
GUCACAUUUUUGUAGAUUCAAUACCUAAAGUGCAGUGUAUAUUGUCUUUAUCGAGAAGAUAAUUGGGCCUCAUCCUAAUUAUGAUUUGAUUUGUUCUGGAAUCGAUUCGGACUGUUCUUCACACUGUUUCAGACGUUACAGUUUGCUGAUUUGGAGGUAUUAUUGUCUCGGUAAACUCGUUGAGCUUUUAUAUUUCACUGCUUCUAAACAAUGGGGAAGAACAGGGAAGUAAUUCGGC